UGCACCUGUACAAGCCUUUGCAUUCUCUUGGGUGAAGAGUGGGAGUUUCUAGGGAUGUAUAUUGGGGUGCAUUCCCCUUGACAGAGGGGAAGGCCCUGAGCCCUGCCAGGAAGCUUUGCCUUGCCAUUCAACAGGAACAGUGUGGUUGUGACUUGUCCUCACUUCAGCCAUCUUGCAGAGCAAUGCCUUAACUGCCAGACUGUGAAGAGACCUUUCCAGGGUCAUGUUUUUAAAUGAAUUUGCUUCUUUUUACAAAAGCACUAAAGUUGCUUUGGAACAGAGGAGAAGGGACAUGAGGAUCCUUUUAGUCCUUUCCACAUUUCUGAAGACCGUGAAACUCCAGAAGCAGCAAGAAUUUCUAUCAGAGAUUGUGACCACCUUUACUUUGCUGAAGGUAUAAAAUGGAAAAGAUCACUGUGACUGGCCAGAUCUUAUCAGCUCUGGAAAAAAGCUCAGGUCAAGAACAGCUCUUGAGGAAAACAAAAUGAAAGACCAACAUUUAGAAACAAUUGGAACAAUUCAGCUUCCCCUACAUAUGCGAAUUUCAGCUUUUUUUGUUGGUGGUGGUUUUUUUUGUUGUUGUUUUUAAAUACAUUUAGAGGCUGCAGGGAACAAUUAUGAUCAUCCUGGCUGAACUCCUGCAUAACCCAAACUACACAAUUUCACCCAGGGACUCUUACACAUAAUGUAACAGCUUGUGAUUGAAUUACUAGAGCAUGCUGAAUUGCAGAAAGUUCUUACGUGGAAACAAGUUGUUCUUUAGAAGUUCACUUUCUGUUGCACUACAAGCUUCAUAUCUGUAGUAACAUAAUGGUCUUUAUCAGGAGUUUGCUGUGAUCUUGUUUUAAGAUGAUUACAACUCUAGGUGAGCUAUGAGAAAGCAAAUAAGCAUUGAUUUAAGCCCACAUGGUUGAGAUUUAAAAAAACUUACAAAAAUGCUUCUUGGAUCCUAUUACUUACAGAGAGUGCUCAGAGGACACUGCAGAACUCUUUCUUUAGAUGAACGAUGUCUCAGGUAAGUGCCCUACAAACUAUUGUCUGUAGAGAGUACAGACUUUCUCCACAGAGUACCCCAUUUUAUUUUCUAGCAGAGUGAAGAGUAAGAGGAAUAGGUUGCGCAAAAUAGAUUUGCUUACUCUCUGUUUUUAAUUUAUUUAUUUUUUCUCCUUAAGAUAAGCCAUUUAUUGUAAUUGCUUUUGUAGUAAACUACUGCCGAAAUUAAAAAAAAAAAAAAAAGUCUAUUAUGUUUCAUUGGUACUGCCAAUUAUUGCUCAACUCUUUCCACUAGAAAAGUGCAAUGGUAGUGGAUCUGUGUUAGAACUGAUAUUCAGGAAUCAUCCCUGUCCAGUAAACAGAGAGCAUCUGUGCCAAAAGCCCAGAAUAUACAGCUUAAAAUAAGAACUGGGCUAAUACAGUGCCAUUGUAAUCCACAAAAAGAUUCAUACUAACUGUAGCAAACAGUGUGUCAGGAUGGAAAUUUGACAAGUUUAAAAUUAAACUGGUCAAACAAGCAUAUCAGCUCAGUUUGAGACUGGGUCCUAUGCAUCCAAACCUGUGAAGUAUUGAAACCUGGUAAUGUACUGUAUUUCUAAGAUGCCUUGAAAAUAAAAAGAUUAGGAUUUCAGCA
ensembl:lncRNA